rnacentral:rRNA from 1 species
GACGAACGCUGGCGGCGUGCUUAACACAUGCAAGUCGAACGGAAAGGCCCUGCUUUUGUGGGUUGCUCGAGUGGCGAACGGGUGAGUAACACGUGAGUAACCUGCCCUUGACUUUGGGAUAACUUCAGGAAACUGGGGCUAAUACCGGAUAGGAGCUCCUGCUGCAUGGUGGGGGUUGGAAAUUUUCGGCGGUUGGGGAUUGACUCGCGGCUUAUCAGCUUGUUGGUGGGGUAGUGGCUUACCAAGGCUUUGACGGGUAGCCGGCCUGAGAGGGUUACCGGCCACAUUGGGACAGAGAUACGGCACAGACUCCUACGGGAGGCAGCAGUGGGGAAUAUUGCACAAUGGGAGGAAGCCUGAUGCAGCAACGCCGCGUGCGGGAUGACGGCCUUCGGGUUGUAAACAGCUUUCGCCUGUGACGAAGAGUGAGUGAAGGUAAUGGGUAAAGAAGCACCGGCUAACUACGUG